UAUAUAAAUUAUAACUAAUUAUUUAUUACAUUGCUCCCAGUUAACCACUUGCGGUGCAAAGAAAUUCUCGGUUGCGCGUGCCAGAACAAUCGAGCGGGAAUCCUUGUCUUCUCCGUUAAUUUAUAGAAAUAACAUCACUGGCUUCGCUAUCACUUUCCAUUUUAUAGUCUGGGGUCAAUACUGAUAACUUUACACGAUGAAGAGCAAGCAGAAACUGUGCCUCGAUGUUGAUUGUUGCGGUAAUGCUAGGUGAGUUGGUCUAGACUGCAACGAAAUGGGCCGGGACAAAGAAGCCUGCGAUAAAGACAGUUCAGGUGCAGGAAGUUGUGACGAAACAGUUGGUUUUUGGGGCCAAAUAGGAGUUACUGGUGGUGCAGUAGAUAUUCCAGAUGUACCUGAUGCUAUUGGUGUUUCUGGGGAUGUCCCUGAUGUAGUUGGUGUUUUUGGAGAUGAUGGGAUUGAUCUUCUUGAAGAUUUGGGUGGUGUUUUAGGUUGAUUUUUACUUUUUCCCCUACCUCUUCCUUUACCUC